GAUCCUGGCUCAGGAUGAACGCUAGCUACAGGUUUAACACAUGCAAGUCGAGGGGAAACGAUAUUGGAAGCUUGCUUCCGAUAGGCGUCGACCGGCGCACGGGUGAGUAACGCGUAUCCAACCUGCCCACCACUUGGGGAUAACCUUGCGAAAGUAAGACUAAUACCCAAUGAUAUCUCUAGAAGACAUCUGAAAGAGAUUAAAGAUUCAUCGGUGAUGGAUGGGGAUGCGUCUGAUUAG
rnacentral:rRNA from 1 species